GUGCUUGCUUCGGCAGCACAUAUACCAAAAUUGAAAUGAUACAGAGAAGAUUAGCAUGGCCCCUGCUCAAGGAUGACACACAAAUUUGGGCCACAUAUAACUUUUGG